rnacentral:rRNA from 1 species
GUGAGGAAUAUUGGUCAAUGGGCGAGAGCCUGAACCAGCCAAGUCGCGUGAAGGAAGAAGGAUCUAUGGUUCGUAAACUUCUUUUGCAGGGGAAUAAAGUGCAGGACGUGUCCUGUUUUGUAUGUACCCUGAGAAUAAGGAUCGGCUAACUCCGUGCCAGCAGCCGCGGUAAUACGGAGGAUCCGAGCGUUAUCCGGAUUCAUUGGGUUUAAAGGGUGCGUAGGCGGACUAUUAAGUCAGUGGUGAAAUCCUGCAGCUUAACUGCAGAACUGCCAUUGAUACUGAUAGCCUUGAGUUUGGUUAAGGUAGGCGGAAUGUGUAAUGUAGCGGUGAAAUGCUUAGAUAUUACACAGAACACCAAUUGCGUAGGCAGCUUACUGAGCCGACACUGACGCUGAGGCACGAAAGCGUGGGGAUCGAACAGGAUUAGAUACCCGAGUAGUCC